rnacentral:rRNA from 1 species
CUAAUACAUGCAAGUCGAGCGAAUGGAUUAAGAGCUUGCUCUUAUGAAGUUAGCGGCCCCCCGGGUGAGUAACACGUGGGUAACCUGCCCAUAAGACUGGGAUAACUCCGGGAAACCGGGGCUAAUACCGGAUAACAUUUUGAACCGCAUGGUUCGAAAUUGAAAGGCGGCUUCGGCUGUCACUUAUGGAUGGACCCGCGUCGCAUUAGCUAGUUGGUGAGGUAACGGCUCACCAAGGCAACGAUGCGUAGCCGACCUGAGAGGGUGAUCGGCCACACUGGGACUGAGACACGGCCCAGACUCCUACGGGAGGCAGCAGUAGGGAAUCUUCCGCAAUGGACGAAAGUCUGACGGAGCAACGCCGCGUGAGUGAUGAAGGCUUUCGGGUCGUAAAACUCUGUUGUUAGGGAAGAACAAGUGCUAGUUGAAUAAGCUGGCACCUUGACGGUACCUAACCAGAAAGCCACGGCUAACUACGUGCCAGCAGCCGCGGUAAUACGUAGGUGGCAAGCGUUAUCCGGAAUUAUUGGGCGUAAAGCGCGCGCAGGUGGUUUCUUAAGUCUGAUGUGAAAGCCCACGGCUCAACCGUGGAGGGUCAUUGGAAACUGGGAGACUUGAGUGCAGAAGAGGAAAGUGGAAUUCCAUGUGUAGCGGUGAAAUGCGUAGAGAUAUGGAGGAACACCAGUGGCGAAGGCGACUUUUCUGGUCUGUAACUGACACUGAGGCGCGAAA